UCAAGGAGCUCAGCGACAGAACUGUGGCAAAGUACAGAUCUGGCCAAGGUUACAAAAGAAGAUCUGCAGCACCCAAGGUUCCUAAGAGCACAGUGGUCUCCAUAAUCCUUAAAUGGAAGAAGUUUGGGAUGACCAGAACUCUUCCUAGACCUGGCCAUCCAACCAAACUGACCAAUCGUGGGAGAAGAGCCUUGAUGAGAGAGGUAAAGAGGAACCCAAAGAUCACUGUGGCUGAGCUCCAGAGAUGCAGCAGGGAGAUGGGAGAACGUUCCACAAAGUCAACUAUCACUGCAGCUCUCCACUAGUCGGGUUUAUGGCAGAGUGGCCCUACAGAAGCCUCUCCUCAUUGCAACACAUAUGAAAGGCCGCAUAGAGAUUGCCAAAAAAUAUGUGAAAGACUCCCAGACUAUGAGAAAUUAAGAUUCUCUGGUCUGAUGAGACGAAGACUGAACUUUUUUUUUUUUUCCGGCACUAAUGGCCUUUAUUUUUGACAGUAGGCAGGCAGAAAAAAGGCAUGCUUUCUAUUUCUGAAAUGUCGCGGGUCCAGGACUUGAACCGGGAUGGCUGCUUUGAGGACUGCACCUUCUGUUUAUGGUCGUGCGCUUAACCCCUACACCAUCAGCGCCGCAUCCCGAAGAUUGAACUUUUUGGUGUUAAUUCUAAGCGCUGCAGGGACAAGAUGACUGGUUGCAAUUGAAGGAAAGAUGAAUGCGGCCAAGUACAGUGAUAUCCUGGAAGAAAACCACUCUCUGAGUGCUCAGGACCUCAGAUUGGGCCGAAGGUUCACCUUCCAAGAAGACAGUGACCUUUAGCACACAGCUAAAAUAACAAAGGAGUGGCUUCGGAACAACUCUGUGACCAUUCUUGACUGGCCCAGCCAGAGCCCUGACCUAAACCCAAUUGAGCAUCUCUGGACAGACCUGAAAAUGGCUGUCCACCAACGUUCACCAUCCAACCUGACGGAACUGGAGAGGAUCUGCAAGGAAGAAUGGCAGAGGAUCCCCAAAUCCAGGGGUGAAAAACUUGUUGCAUCAUUCCAAAGAAGACUCAUGGCUAUACUAGCUCAAAAGGGUGCUUCUACUCAAUACUGAGCAAAGGGUCUGAAUACUUGUGACCAUGUGAUAUCUCAGUUUUUCUUUUUAAUAAAUUUGCAAACAUUUCUA